ACCGUCGUUUAGGCAAUUCUGAAUAAAAAGUUGUUGUUGUUGGAAUCGUAUUAAAAAGGGAUGCCAAAACCAUCCAAAACAAUUUGCAAAAGCUUUCCAAUGGUGGCCAAAGUUAAUCGCAGUUGAAGAGUGGUAGAAGUUAACGUUUCAAAUUGUCAUUUUAAGGUGAUCAUGAAUCGAUUGGCCGUUUGCUUAACGUUGUUAUUUUGAGUUCCGGUUAAUUUACAUCGAAAUGGGUAUAAGAAUCAGAGUUCUCUGUGUUUGGAGUUCGACGGAUGAUAAAUAAAAAGAAGUAUCAUACGGUUGUUUCCGGACAGCGGAUUCGUCAUACGAAGCGGAAGUUCAUUCAGCCGGAACUGUUUCUUCGGUCUUCAUACAAAUCAACUAGUUUGAUUCGGUGCUGACCGUAAAUGAAAAAUUGAAAAGUUCCGAUGAGGAAAUGCGCUUCUUCCAUAUUCCAAUACCGACGAACAUCCGAGGACAGAUUUUUAUCAAGUUUGCCGCCACGAGUGAGUCUAUCGGGCCUGAUGAUGGAUCCGGAAGCUGAUUGCUGGAGGAUAGGUUCCGACGGAACCGGAUGAACAAGGACAAUCCGUCAAUUAUUGCCCAAGUGUUUUAGUUCUUAUGAUAUUUUAUAUAUUUAUUAUAAAUUUGCUUUGCAAUGCAGUUUUUUUUCCAAACUGU